rnacentral:lncRNA from 1 species
CCAAGAUCAUCAUCUUGUGAUUUGCAAUGAACAGUCAUAUUUGAGGGAUGUGGAGGUACCACUAGUGUAUUGAAAAUCGUCACCACUACCUCACCCGCACUGGUUUGAAAUGCAAGUAGUAUAAUUAGGAGAAUUGAAAAUUUUAACGUAGUUGAAUUUGGAGUUGCCAUUGUUGUAUGCAUAAUACCCACAAGAUUUACAACAAUCUUAAUUUAUAGUAGCAAUA